rnacentral:rRNA from 1 species
AAUCAACGCUGGCGGCGUGCCUAACACAUGCAAGUCGAACGAGAAAGGGGCUUCGGCCCUGAGUAAAGUGGCGCACGGGUGAGUAACACGUGACUAACCUACCCUGGAGUGGGGAAUAACUUCGAGAAAUCGAGGCUAAUACCGCAUAACACCUACGGGUCAAAGGAGCAAUUCGCUUCAGGAGGGGGUCGCGGCAGAUUAGUUAGUUGGCAGGGUAAUGGCCUACCAAGACAGUGAUCUGUAUCCGGCCUGAGAGGGCGCACGGACACACUGGAACUGAAACCCGGUCCAGACUCCUACGGGAGGCAGCAGUGGGGAAUUUUGCGCAAUGGGGGAAACCCUGACGCAGCAACGCCGCGUGGAGGAUGAAGUCUCUUGGGACGUAAACUCCUUUCGACCGGGACGAUAAUGACGGUACCGGAAGAAGAAGCUCCGGCUAACUUCGUGCCAGCAGCCGCAGUAACAC